GGAGCUUGCUCCCGGAUGUUAGCGGCGGACGGGUGAGUAACACGUGGGUAACCUGCCUGUAAGACUGGGAUAACUCCGGGAAACCGGAGCUAAUACCGGAUAGUUCCUUGAACCGCAUGGUUCAAGGAUGAAAGACGGUUUCGGCUGUCACUUACAGAUGGACCCGCGGCGCAUUAGCUAGUUGGUGGGGUAAUGGCUCACCAAGGCGACGAUGCGUAGCCGACCUGAGAGGGUGAUCGGCCACACUGGGACUGAGACACGGCCCAGACUCCUACGGGAGGCAGCAGUAGGGAAUCUUCCGCAAUGGACGRAAAGUCUGACGGAGCAACGCCGCGUGAGUGAUGAAGGUUUUCGGAUCGUAAAGCUCUGUUGUUAGGGAAGAACAAGUGCGAGAGUAACUGCUCGCACCUUGACGGUACCUAACCAGAAAGCCACGGCUAACUACGUGCCAGCAGCCGCGGUAAUACGUAGGUGGCAAGCGUUGUCCGGAAUUAUUGGGCGUAAAGGGCUCGCAGGCGGUUUCUUAAGUCUGAUGUGAAAGCCCCCGGCUCAACCGGGGAGGGUCAUUGGAAACUGGGAAACUUGAGUGCAGAAGAGGAGAGUGGAAUUCCACGUGUAGCGGUGAAAUGCGUAGAGAUGUGGAGGAACACCAGUGGCGAAGGCGACUCUCUGGUCUGUAACUGACGCUGAGGAGCGAAAGCGUGGGGAGCGAACAGGAUUAG
rnacentral:rRNA from 2 species